UCCAAAUUUUUUGGGUUUUUUUUUUUCUAUUCAUGUGAAGGUUCCUUUUGAGUUGUGAAGUUUAAGGUAUGCCCUCUCCUUUUGAAAUUGUGAUUGAAGUAUAUAGACAGACAUGUUUCAGCCCCUAUCAAAUAUACAUAAGAAACUUGACGUUUUCUUAUAAUUUUGUAGAUAAUAUUUUUCUUAAAUAAAAUAUUAUAUACAUUUUCCUUCAUACUACUUUUCUCAUUCACAUUUUCUAUCACUGAUGCUGGUCACUUCUUGGUAAUUUUGCAGGACUACAGUAGAAAUUGGCCAUAAUUUUUCUUUGUAUGUAGAAGCAGGGAACUCAUCUUCACUAUUGUCAAUAUGUCUAAUCAUUAGGCGCUGGUCACUUUUUCAUGUUUUUCAUGUUUCAGUCACUUUCACAUCCUCCUGCAGCCGCAUCAGUGGUGACGAGGAUGAGGAUAUGAAAGUUGGCUGAGAUAUGAAAACAUGAAAGUGAAUACAAACACACCAAUGGCCAUACAUGAACCGACCACCAUGGUAAAAAUUAACCACCAAAUUGGUUAAGCAGUGUGAAGAUCUCAAAGUGAAGUACAAUGAAGAGAUGACAGAGAGAAAAAAGCUCUUCAAUGAACUUCAAGAGUCUAAAGGGAACAUUAGGGUUUUCUGCCGUUGCCGCUGGCUGUACUAGUUUUGGAUUUUGGUGCAGCAAAGGAUGGAAUUUUGACAACUAGUAUGUCAAAAAAAACAAUUCAGAUUUGACAGAGUUUAUACAUCAAAAGAUCGUCAAAUUGAUGUUUUUGCUGAUGCCUCAUCAAUGGUAACAUCUGUGUUGGACGGCUACAAUGUAUGCAUAUUUGCUUAUGGACCAACAGGAACAGGAAAGACAUUUACCAUGGAGGGAACAGAGCUGAAUAGAGGAGUAAAUUAUAGGACUAUAUAAAAUUAAAAUAUUACAUAAAGAGAACGUAAAAAAUUCAAUUAUCAUACAAUAAUAAAAUUAAAAGAGUACGUAAAGAGUACAUAGAAAAUAUAUAAAAAUAAAAAAUAUUGUUAUAUAUUUUUUAUUGAAAAAUUAUAAAAAUAAAAUUGAAAUUUAUAAACUAAAGAACUUGAAGGCCAGAUUGAGUUGAAAACAUCCAUGCAAAACCAGUCAGAAAAACAAGGAGAAAUUGAAAAUAAAAGAAGAAACCUGCAAAAAGCAGGAAGAAAGGAUGAAGGAGCUCGAGAACAAACUUAAAGAGUAGGAACAGAGCUCAGUUAUGCUUUGUCAGCAGAUGAAGGAACAAGAGUGGCAAAGAAAGGCCACAGCCGACGCGGCCAGGAGCUUGACAUGCUCUGUGCCCGCUCAAAGGCUGUGGUCAUCGAUGCCACGAACAACUGCUCCUUUUUACAGCAGAAGUUCCUGGACCUCGCAUCGGAGGUAUUCGCCGUACAACUCUUUAUCUCCGAAGUCAAACAAUCAAUUGCAACUGGUGAGAAGAGUUCGGAUUCCCCAUGUCAUAGGGAUCUGAAUCCCCUGGAGUUAGUGAAUCCUUGGAGCUAGUGAUGGGCAAUCUUUUGCAACUGCAGAAGCUAGCUUCUCAACUCCUGUUCGAGUGCUGCAAGCUACUACCCAGGGCAGGACAGUUACAUCUAGAGGACGUGGAUGUCUGGCAAGACCUCCAAGGCGAACUAACGGAUUGUAAAUAAUAAUCUUAAUACAUAAGACUAUUAUUUUGUUGAUCACAUCUACUUCCAAAGUAUUAUGUAAAUACAUACGAAAGUAUUAUUUUUAUAUGAAUUUAAUUUUGAUGUAUUUACAGAUUACAGUGUAAAAUAUUUUAAACCCUAAACCCU